rnacentral:rRNA from 1 species
CAGUAGCCGCGGUAAUACGUAGGGUGCGAGCGUUAAUCGGAAUUACUGGGCGUAAAGCGUGCGCAGGCGGCUUUGCAAGACAGAUGUGAAAUCCCCGGUCUCAACCUGGGAACUGCAUUUGUGACUGCAAGGCUAGAGUGCGGCAGAGGGAGAUGGAAUUCCGCGUGUAGCAGUGAAAUGCGUUGAGAUCGGAAAGAACACCAACGGCGAAAGCACUCUGCUGGGCCGACACUGACACUGAGAGACGAAAGCUAGGGGGGCAAAUGGGAUUAGAUACCCCAGUAGUCCCUGUCUCUUAUAA